GUCAAGUGAUGAGUCCAAGGCAAAUGUGACUCCCUUCCUCUUGGUUCGACCUCUGACCUCUUGCUCUCGGUCUGUAAUCUUGGUGGCAGUAUAGAAGCUUCUUGCUGCCGCUGUAAGGCCAGACCCACAUCAGCUUCUCAGGCUGGUCUCCACUGUACUUUUCUGUCCACUGGAGUGUGAGUGGUACAGAAAUCAGGGGUGACCUACAGUAUGUUUCGAUACCGCAGAGAGUAGUGGUCAGCGGUUGUGACUCUUAAUGGAGGCUAAAGGGUGGUAUGAGCACGUAUCUUUGGUAAUCUGAUGUCA